CCUACGGGUGGCAGCAGUGGGGAAUAUUGCACAAUGGGGGAAACCCUGAUGCAGCAACGCCGCGUGAGUGAAGAAGAAUUUCGGUAUGUAAAGCUCUAUCAGCAGGGAAGAAGAAAGACGGAACCGGACGAAGAAGCCCCGGCUAACUACGUGCCAGCAGCCGCGGUAAUACGUAGGGGGCAAGCGUAAUCCGGAUUUACUGGGUGUCAAGGGAGCGGAGACGGCUGGGAAAGUCUGAAGGGAAAGCCCGGGGCUCAACCGCGGAACUGCUUUGGAAACUGUCUAGAUUGCGUACUGGAGAGGCAGGCGGAUUUCCUCGUGUAUCGGUGUAAUUCGUAGAUAUUAGGAGGCACACCAGUGGCGAAGGCGGCUUACUGGACUGUAACUGACGUUGAGGCUCGAAAGCGUGGGGAGCAAACAGGAUUCGAUACCCCAGUAGUC
rnacentral:rRNA from 1 species